rnacentral:rRNA from 1 species
GUGGAUUAGAUACCCUGGUAGUCCACGCCCUAAACGAUGUCUACUAGUUGUUGGGUCUUAAUUGACUUAGUAACGCAGCUAACGCGUGAAGUAGACCGCCUGGGGAGUACGGUCGCAAGAUUAAAACUCAAAGGAAUUGACGGGGACCCGCACAAGCGGUGGAUGAUGUGGAUUAAUUCGAUGCAACGCGAAAAACCUUACCUACCCUUGACAUGGCAGGAAUUCCGAAGAGAUUUGGAAGUGCUCGCAAGAGAACCUGCACACAGGUGCUGCAUGGUCGUCGCCAGCU